ensembl:lncRNA novel transcript, antisense to C11orf87
GUAUAAAAUAAGUUCAACACUGGCAACCAUCUGAUAACCACAGAGAAAUGAGACUGAGGAUAAAACUAAUCUAAAGAGGAUACCAACGAAGCUGUAACCCUCCAGUUACAUAAACCAGUGUCCUGAGGGAGAAGCUGGUGCCCUUUAUCACACAGCUAACAACGCUCCUGGCCCAUGGAUCAGAGAAGUUGAAGGAAAAUACAGAGGAAGUUCUAACAGUGGCAGACCUAAUUACUGCACCAUGCCAAGCAGGCGCUGGGAACAGCCUUUGGCUGACAGCCAGCAAGGAAAUGGGGACUUCAGUGCUACAACUUCAAGGAACUAAAUUUUGCCAACAAAUGUGAAUAAGCUUCCAAGUGGAUUCUUCCCCAGAGCCUCCAAAUAAGAGCCCAGCCUGGCUUUCAUCUUGAUUUCAUCUCUUUGAGACUCCAAGCAGAGAAGCUGGUCAGGCCCCCACCACUUCCUCCACCCAUCAGACCUCUGACCUACAGAACUAUCAGGUAAAAUAUUUUCCCAGGGGUUCAAGCUGAGUUUUGACCCAAGUUAUUGUCCUAGAAUCUGUGGGGGAAGUACAAGUAAACCUUAAAGAAGACAAAUAACACCUUAUGAGGUGUUUGCCUUAGGUGAGUCUUAUUUAUAUUUUCCAGGCAACAAGAAUAUGACAUCCUGUAACAAUGGCGAGUGAAUGAUUUCCACAUGCUUAGAGGUUUGGGAGAAUCUGGAAGUUCACGGUUCCCAAGCACAUCUAUCUCAAAUAUCCCCAUCUCAGGUCUCAGGCAUACUCCUUUCCUAUCAAGGCAUAA